rnacentral:rRNA from 1 species
UAGGGAAUCUUCGGCAAUGGGGGGAACCCUGACCGAGCAACGCCGCGUGAGUGAAGAAGGUUUUCGGAUCGUAAAGCUCUGUUGUUAAGGAAGAACGAGUGUGAGAAUGGAAAGUUCAUGCUGUGACGGUACUUAACCAGAAAGGGACGGCUAACUACGUGCCAGCAGCCGCGGUAAUACGUAGGUCCCGAGCGUUGUCCGGAUUUAUUGGGCGUAAAGCGAGCGCAGGCGGUUAGAAAAGUCUGAAGUGAAAGGCAGUGGCUCAACCAUUGUAGGCUUUGGAAACUGUUUAACUUGAGUGCAGAAGGGGAGAGUGGAAUUCCAUGUGUAGCGGUGAAAUGCGUAGAUAUCGGGAAGAACACCAAUGGCGAAGGCAGGUCUCUGGGCUGUUACUGACGCGGAGAAGCGAAAGCGUGGGGAGCGAACAGG